rnacentral:rRNA from 1 species
CCUACGGGUGGCUGCAGUGGGGAAUAUUGGACAAUGGGGGCAACCCUGAUCCAGCCAUGCCGCGUGUGUGAAGAAGGCCCUCGGGUUGUAAAGCACUUUCAGUGAGGAAGAACGCCUGGUGGUUAAUACCCAUCAGGAAAGACAUCACUCACAGAAGAAGCACCGGCUAACUCCGUGCCAGCAGCCGCGGUAAUACGGAGGGUGCGAGCGUUAAUCGGAAUUACUGGGCGUAAAGCGCGCGUAGGUGGCUUGAUAAGCCGGUUGUGAAAGCCCCGGGCUCAACCUGGGAACGGCAUCCGGAACUGUCAAGCUAGAGUGCAGGAGAGGAAGGUAGAAUUCCCGGUGUAGCGGUGAAAUGCGUAGAGAUCGGGAGGAAUACCAGUGGCGAAGGCGGCCUUCUGGACUGACACUGACACUGAGGUGCGAAAGCGUGGGUAGCAAACAUGAUUAGAUACCCUGGUAGUC